UUGCACGCUGGCGGCAUGCUUUACCCCUGCCAGUCGGACGGUAACAGGCCUUCGGGUGCUGACGAGUGGCGAACGGGUGAGUAAUGCAUCGGAACGUACCCAGAGGUGGGGGAUAACGCAGCGAAAGCUGUGCUAAUACCGCAUGUGAUCUGAGGAUGAAAGCGGGGGACCGAGCAGCAAUGUUUGGCCUCGCGCCUUUGGAGCGGCCGAUGUCGGAUUAGCUAGUUGGUGGGGUAAAGGCCUACCAAGGCGACGAUCCGUAGCUGGUCUGAGAGGACGACCAGCCACACUGGGACUGAGACACGGCCCAGACUCCUACGGGAGGCAGCAGUGGGGAAUUUUGGACAAUGGGCGCAAGCCUGAUCCAGCAAUGCCGCGUGCGGGAAGAAGGCCUUCGGGUUGUAAACCGCUUUUGGCAGGAACGAAACGGUGUCCGCUAAUACCGGGCGCUAAUGACGGUACCUGCAGAAUAAGCACCGGCUAACUACGUG
rnacentral:rRNA from 1 species